AGCAGCCGCGGUAAUUCCAGCUCCAAUAGCGUAUAUUAAAGUUGUUGCAGUUAAAAAGCUCGUAGUUGAAUUUCGGGAUCAGUUGGUCGGUCGUGCCUCGGUACGUACUGGUCAAAUUGAUUCCUACCUUCUGACGAACCACGAUGUCAUUAAUUUGGUGUCGCGGGAAAUCAGGACUGUUACUUUGAAAAAAUUAGAGUGUUUAAAGCAGGCUCGCGCUUGAAUACAUUAGCAUGGAAUAAUGAAAUAGGACGUUUGAUUCUAUUUUGUUGGUUUCUAGGAUCGACGUAAUGAUUAAUAGGGAUAGUUGGGGGCAUUAGUAUUCAAUUGUCAGAGGUGAAAUUCUUGGAUUUAUUGAAGACUAACUACUGCGAAAGCAUUUGCCAAGGAUGUUUU
rnacentral:rRNA from 1 species